rnacentral:lncRNA from 1 species
CGACGACCGUACCCACGCCCGUAUAAAAAGCCUCCGGGAGGGCUGCGGUGGGCACGAGGAGAAUGGGUUGGUGCGUGUGCGUUGCGCGGGUUGUUCAAACGUGGAGUGACUGUAAGCCAUCCAUUCACGUGUCGACGCAGCGAGGAGGCGGUGGCUCAAUGAAUUUUAACGUCUGAGAAGUACAUGGACUGUAUGUGAAGGCAGGGAACCUGCUCUGCUGCUGUCAUCAUCGACCUCUGAUAUCACUUGGAGCAAGACAACCAACGAUAGCAGUGAUCUGACUCUGGAGUGGUAAGAAAGCAUGAGAUUAUUCACUCGACGAUGUCACGACUCCCAAGUCUGAUGUCAUGGCUGUUUCCACAGCAACCAAAUGGAAUCAAGGACAGCUUUGAAACCAGGAAUUAGAAACCAAGAGGAACUCAUACAGAGUGGCAACACAACACAGGAGUGCCGUGAAGCAAACCAUGCCCUGCACAUGGCCCAGGGUCUCAACACUCCCAGCUGGCGCAGUGCUUUCUCAGUGAGGAAUAGUGCAGCGUUGGAAGCUCAGCACCUUAGCAUUGCUGUGCUUUCUGAAUCCUGAGUGAAGGAUGCAAAAAUGUGGUGGCACUGCAGGACUGAUCCCUCUGGGGACUGGGGUAAGGUUGCAUGGAGUGUCUCCUUCCAUCGCAGCUCCCUUUUCCAUGCAGACUCAGGGCACUUUGUGCAACCUCUGUCCACCUAGAGGUGCCCAGCUGAGAUGCAGCUCCCCCUGGCCUGUGCAGUGUUCAAUGCUCAGAGACUCCGUGCUGUUCCUUGCUGGAAGAGGGUCACGUUUCUAAUGGGACUGGACAGGAGGAUGCCAGAUUAGCUGCUGUGCCAGGAGUGCAUCAUUCUUUCCAGCCUCAGAGGUUUCCCUUAGAUGGUCCUGCACUCAUCUUCCUUACCUGCGGGAGAUGGACGCCUUGCCCUCCACUUGCCACAUAUAUCCCACUCACUGUGCUUCAGUUGCUGAUGAUGCUGAGUCCUCUCCUUGCCCAUCCCAAACCACCCAACUGUUCCACCCCUGCGUGAUGCACCCUUUUCAGCACCCCACUGCAAAUUCUGGGGCAAAAUUCCUGUUCCCCUGGACAGACUGGGGCGAUCCAUGGCACACAGAGCAGGCAGCCCUCCCAGUAGGAGUGCUGCUUGAAGGGGAGUAUUUUGCUGUGUCAACAUGUCUGCUUCUCUAUCCCCCAUGUUUGCUGAUUGCAUCCUUGAAGAAUCCCUGUCACAUUAGGUUUUCAGCAUGGAGCUGAGCCCUGAGCUUGGAGGGACAUGGAGUACUGGGGAAGGCUUCUUCAGUGGAGUGCUAGAGGGGUGUAAAA